CAGGGUGGUCACCCAUCCUGGGAUUGCUCCAGCCUCCAACUCGCUUAACUUCGGAGUUCCUACGACUCCGAAGCUAGUGAGCUCCCAAAAGGUCUCGUGCUAGAUGGAUGCGGGUGUGCACAUAUAAGGCACAUCACCCCCUCUUGGGAGCUCACUGACUUUGGAGUCGUAGGAACUCCAAAGUUAAGCGAGUUGGAGGCUAGAGCAAUCCCAGGAUGGGUGACCACCCUGGGAAGUU
rnacentral:miRNA from 1 species